GCAGCAAUCUCAACCUUAUCCAGGUUUGUCUAUGUAGAGAAAUAUGCUUCAUCUUUCUGAGUUAAUAUUGACCAACCAGAUGCAGAAUUAAAUAUCAAUUGCCAUUAUGUUGGUUAUUAUUACUAUUUCAUUUUUCUGGCUAAUUAGUUUUAAACAUAUAAAAUGAAUCAUUUUUAGCUCAAUACCAUAGACACAGAUAUGCAACACUUGCCACCUUCAUAUGAUUCUCAGAUAGGUUAAUUGUAAUGUCAUGGAACAAUAUGAUACAGAAGAAAAUGGAUGUGGGACAAUAAUGAAAAUGAUAAAGAUAUAUGUUAAAAUGGUGGAAUUGGUUACUACAAUUAGCAUGAUACACUUUCAGAUCAAGGUCAUGUCUUCAUUUCAUAAUAAUCCCAAUGAGUGGGGAUUGGGGAAGCUUGUUUUACAAUCUAAAGUUGUAUUUAAGGGAAUACUUACAAUUAAUGCUUCAGCAAGGAAAGUUGGGAAUCUCAUGAAUCAGGAAUUUAGGAUAUUGAAGGAGUCUUUAUUACAGCGUAGCUGUAACUCUUUCUCUAAACUCAUGCCUACAUUUCUCAACACAAAAUAAUUUCCUCGUAGAGUUUCUUUUCGUGAAGAAACUAAAUCAUGAUCCCAAACUUUUUUGGCCUUUGCUGGAAAUAUAGUUGGAUGAAUUUGAGCAUUUGAAUGCAAGAUUGUGUAAUCAAUAAACUAAGGGGUCAAAGUGGUUGGUUGUGUUUAAGAUCUUGGUACUAUGAACUGGUAAAGGUAUCUGUUUUGGAAGAUAUUUUUUUUCAAGGACUUUGAGGAUAACUCACAUAUUGGAGAGACAGAGAGAGAGAACUGGAAGUGUUUCCAGUCAUGAAUGUAGAGAAAAAGUAAUGGGAGAAUAAACUAGCUAAUUACUGUACCAGUUCAUACAGAGGGACUAAAAAGCAUUUUGUAAUUGCAGUGCAAUGUAAUUAUGUUCAUUAUGAGCUGGUAGUCAAAAGAAAGAUUUUCACAAAGUCAAAAAGUUUCAUUGCUUACAUCUAAAAUGAUGGUAUAGGCUGCUUAGUUAACAAGGUUAAAGAUGUUUGUGGCAUGUGUCAUUGGUUGUUCUAUGUCAUAAACUGCAUUAAUUUAUUUGGUUGCUUACAUCUAAAUUGAUGGUAUAGGCUUCUCGGCUAAUAAGGUUAAAGAUGUUUGCAACAUGUGUCAUUUGUUGUUCUAUGUCACAAACUGCAUUAUUUUAUGGUUGAAAAUAAUGUUCUUUCAUCAUGUAAACCAUAUUGUUCUACUUCUUUGUUUUCUUGCUUGAUCAGUCAUUGUAAAUACCAGUUGGUAUUUUGAGAUCACCUUGUAUUGGAUUUUCCUUUUUCUUUGUUUAAUGUUGCGCAAUAAUAAGGUCUCUGGGGGGCCGCUGGGGUAGGGAGGAGACAGGGUGCAGAGUGUAAUUAGAUCAGAGAACUUGGUAUUCAAUGACAAUCGCUCUGUUUAUAUGUAUUAGUUGGGAACUACAUUCAAUAUUGAGUCAUCCAUAUGCUUUAUUGUGUUGAUACAGCAAUUAAUCAUAUCUUUCCCCCUGCUUAACUUUAUCUUUAUAGCCUUUAAAUCAAACUGAUGUCUACAAUGGGAGGCUACUUAUUUCUCUGGUGCUUUCCACCUUGUUUCUGUCCUAAUAAUAGGAAUCCCAGUGCAUCAUAAACUCUCUCUGCUAUCAUCAGUGUGUGCUAAAGGUGAACUUUCUUUGUCUCUCAACAUGAACAGACACGUGAAUGGCUUGAUUACAUGGAUGAGAAAUUAAACCUAAGCAACAAAUUAAUUUGGUGCAACUUGCUACUUUUGCAUUACUGUUUUUCCUCUUACCCUCUUUUCAUCACUUUUAUCUUUUGCUAUCUUGUGAUUAUAAAUUGGAGCUGUUGCAUAAGUAUCAGUUCCAACAGACUAUCAGCAAAUCAUUGAGCAAAAUCUCUGUUAGGCUUAAUUAGUUAAUUUGCCUCCAUCUAUCCUUUAUUCAUUCUCCAUGUAAAUACUACUAGACAUGUAUCAACUGUGUAACCGACUUCAUUCUCAUUUGUUUUUCCAAGCUAUGUAAUUUUGUAAUGGACUGGGAGCCAUAUAGAUUUUAUUACUAAUAGUGACUUCAAGUUGGGCUAAUUCACAAAAGUUCAUAAAUUUGAGGAUUUAACAUAUUGGGCAACAAAUAUUCUUCUAUUACAGGAAAUUGUUCUUUGGAAAAUCACCAUAAUAGAAGGACAACAUAAAUGGCAUUCACUCAAGCGUCAUCACUCAUUAGAUGGUUGUUGAAUGCCAUUUGAUUUUCCUAAAAUGUUAACUUUGAUGUUUGAGAAGCAGAAAGAAUCAGUUUGAAAGAAGCCCUUUAUCUCAUGUGAUAUAUCUGAACCAAGUGUGAUUGAUAAGUUUUGAUAAUAGUAGUCCAUAAAACCAGCAAUGAUGUUCCCUUAAUGGACUACUACCAUCAAAACUUAUCAAUCACACUUAGUACAUGUAUAAUUUCUUUUUUUACUUGUUAUUCAGUUUGGUUAUGCUAUUGUACAUGUUGUUUAUGUGUUUUUAGGGCAACCAGUUAAACGCAGAAA
rnacentral:misc_RNA from 1 species